GAUGAAGAACGCAGUGAAAUGCGAUAAGUAGUGUGAAUUGCAGAAUUCAGUGAAUCAUCGAAUCUUUGAACGCACAUUGCGCCCUCUGGUAUUCCGGGGGGCAUGCCUGUUCGAGCGUCAUUAUAACCACUCAAGCUCUCGCUUGGUAUUGGGGUUCGCGGUUUCGCGGCCCCUAAAAUCAGUGGCGGUGCCUGUCGGCUCUACGCGUAGUAAUACUUCUCGCGAUUGAGUUCGAUAGGUCUACUUGCCAGUAACCCCCAAUUUUUACAGGUUGACCUCGGAUCAGGUCGGGAUACCCGCUGAACUUAAGCAUAUCAAUAAGCGGAGGA
rnacentral:misc_RNA from 1 species